UAAAAAUUAAUGCUUUUUUAUGUCAGUAGUAAGAACUCCAAGCCAAAUUGACCAAGGCAAUGUUUAGAUUCACUCACAUGACCACUGCAAGGGUGCCUGAUUAAAUUUCAUUUAUCUUUGUAAAUCCUUUAUUAUUGAUUUUUUUUUUUUUUUCAGCUUUAGGUCUUUUGUUGUAUCCUGGGGUUUCCUGCCAGGCUCCCACCAGUGAUGAGAAUGUACUUUUAUUCAAAGUGCAGACUGCAUGUCUGAAGCAACCAUAUCUCUGCCCCAGAUACCACAUUUUCUUUAUUAAUUCAUUCAUCAAUGGACAUUUGAAGAAGGAAAUCCUACCACAUGUGACAAAAAUGAAUGAAUCUGGAGGACAUUGUGCUAAAUGAACAAGCCAGUCACAGAAGAAAAAUAUCUCAUGAUUCAACAUCUAUAAGUGAAACAAGGAAAAUUUUCA
rnacentral:lncRNA from 13 species